UACGAAGGGGGCUAGCGUUGCUCGGAAUCACUGGGCGUAAAGCGUACGUAGGCGGCUUACUAAGUCAGGGGUGAAAUCCUGGAGCUCAACUCCAGAACUGCCUUUGAUACUGGUGAGCUUGAGUCCGGAAGAGGUGAGUGGAACUGCGAGUGUAGAGGUGAAAUUCGUAGAUAUUCGCAAGAACACCAGUGGCGAAGGCGGCUCACUGGUCCGGUACUGACGCUGAGGUGCGAAAGCGUGGGGAGCAAACAGG
rnacentral:rRNA from 1 species